ensembl:lncRNA
UCUGUUUUGUGGUGGUUCGUUGGCAGUGCUGAAGUCUCUCUCUGGUCCCGCCGACAUGGACUCUUUGGUGGAGACGAUGAUGCCGCUGUUAAUGUCGCGUUUGGCCAAAGAAAUGGGCACCUCGUCCUCGGCGGCGCCCUCUACAGCCGCCAAGAAGAAGGCGGUGAAGAAGACGGUCUCCACGCCCGUGAGGAGGACGGUCUCCGCGGCGUCCAAACCCAGAGUGAGCCAACUUUCUGCUUUAAGGAAAUGGUGAAACUGAAACUACAGCCCAUGUUUUAGUCUUUGUUUUUGUGUUGUGUUUCCAGGCGGUGAAACCUUCCACGAUGGUGAGACUGGGCUCCAUCAUCCCGCCUCUGUCUCACGACGACGUGGUGGCGUUCGCAGAGAAAUUCGGGAAAACCAAAUCGGUUUUGCUGUUUCGCCAAAAACACCAGGCUGUGGUGUGUUUUGAAAAAGAAGAAGACGCCAAAAAACUGAGAACUGCGAAAGACCUGAAAAUCAAAGAUCAUCUGGUCACGAUCGUCAAGUAUAAGGCAAGAAACGACAACUUUACGUCAAAUUUAAAACAAACAUUUCUCUUUUGCCAAAGCUUCUUAUUACAUUUACUAAGCGAUAUUGACAUAAAUAUUUAAACUUUUCAGGAGGCAGUUUCUACGACUCAAAGAAAAUCUCCCGUAUCUGCGGCGAGACGACCCUUGAAGUCGGCCGUUAAAACGACCGCAACUACGAGCAAAGCCAGUGCAUCCAACACUGCUCCAGUGAAGGCCACUACGUUGAAAGCAACAACCGUCAAAACACCGGCCACCAGAACCACACAAUCAAAAACUACUUCAGUCAAAUCUGGCGUUACCAGGAAGGUCCCUACUGCCUCUACUUUAACAGCAGCUGCUGCUACUUCAUCUACUACUGCUGCUGCUAUUUCUACCAUUGCUACGAUUAUCACUCCUGCGACGGCUGGAGUGGACGUAACUAGAGCGAGGUAUGCCACGGCAGGUCAGAUCCGAUCCGUCCAAUACUCGAGCCUGAAGGAAGUCGUGAUCCAAGACAAUCCGAUACCAAGUUUGUCGAAGGAAGUCACGAAUGCACCCAAAGAAGCCGACAAGGAAGCGAUCAAAAUCAUAGACGUCGACAUGGAACCGAUAGAAAUCAGCAGCGGGACGGACUGCGAAGACGAGGGUGAGCAGAGGGUGUUGAAAAAUUCGGCUGCGGAAGCGCCAAGCAACAAAAUGGAUGCUGAUAAAGUAGUCACUGAAGACAAAACUCCAGAAGAAGUGGUUGGAAGUACGAACAAUACGGCAGGAAAAGAUAAUAUGAAAAAUCUGAAGAAGUUGGAGAGAAGAUUUCAAGCCAAGAAAAGGUUGAAAGCGCCAAAAACGUUCAACGAAAUUUGCAAGAAGAUGAUUCGAAUGUGACGAAAGAAAAGAAAAAAGAGUCUUCCCCGUUGACCGACGUCUCUACGGAACAAACCGAUUCAGGAGAAAAGACAGUCGUUGAAGGGUCUGAGAAAUUGGAGGUGGAGUUGAGCGCGCAGCAGCCGAAGGAAGAGUGCGCAGUUGCUAUAAAAGAAGAGAAUUCAACAGAGAAACUAGCAGAGUUGGCUGAAGUGACGCCACAGCGACACAAGGAGAGACGGUUGUAGAGGAGCAGGAGGUAAAGAUGGAAGGUUCAACCACGGAAGCUGAAAGAGUCCAAGAAACGUCAAAGGCAGAAGGUAAGAUUUUCCUAAGUCUGUGUAAAUAUGUAGAUUUUCUCUGGAAAAAUCCCACAAACCGAAGCGUAUUGUCUGAGAUGCAGUGACCACAAAGCCUGCGGAAGCGACGAAGGCCAAAGCGACAAAGGCCGAUGCGACGCCAAACACAACCCAGAAAAUCCCUGUCCCACAGAGUCCGAGUGCAGAAGCAGCGGGGCCGUCUCUGACCGCGGGCGAGACUCUUCUGGAAAGACGACUCACCUAUAACAACUUCAGUGAGAAAAACCUCUUUCAUGAGUCUAUCAUUCAACUAAUCAUUUUCUGAAAAUUGUUGUCUGUCUUCGCAGAACCAAGUUGUCUUUCUCUGUCCUACAUCUUCGGACCGAAAGUAAGUCUUGGCUUCAAACAGAUCCUUCACUUCUGUAAAUAGAUGGAGGUUUAUUGAUUCUGGGGAAAAGGAGGAGGAGACAUCUUAAGAGGUUAAAUUUAAAAUUCAAACAAUGUUAAUGUGCUGUAACAGUGUGUAAUAACUUGUACCUAUGGGUUACACAAUGGAAUAAUAUGUAUUGUGGUUUGGAGUUAAACACACAAUGUAAAAUUACAUAAAAUCCCAGUUUUUUACUUUACUACAUUGCGGAGUUUACAUGUUCACCCCGUGUCUGUGUAGGUUUCCUCCGGGUACUCUGGUUUCCCCUACCACAAAAACAUUCAGUAGGUUCCCCCAGUGGCCAGGACUCCCCUGAAAAAAGAGAUUCUUAAUCUCAGUGGGACUUGGUUAAAUGAACAAAUAAAACGUUGAAUGUCUUGAUCCCUACAUCUGCAGUUUAUGGAGACAAUA